GCCGGGGUAGCUAAGUUUGUAGAGCAGAGGAUUGAAAAUCCUCGUGUCACUAGUUCAAGUCUUGUUCUUGGCA
rnacentral:tRNA from 1 species